rnacentral:lncRNA from 1 species
CGAGAUCGCACCACUGCACUCCAGCCUGGGAGACAGAGCGAGACCCUGUCCCAAAAAAAACAAAACAAAACAAACAAAAAAACAAAAAAACACUGGCUGUCACCCUCGUCCGCACAGUUAGACAUCUGUUGGAGCCGACGCGUAAUUUCGGAGGCUGUAAAAAUUCCCAUCUCCUAAAUUAUACAUCCAGGAGAGAAACCCUGUUCUAUAAGGAGCUACUCCAGGAAUCCUGGGCAGUCUACUGGACUCACUUCCUCUUCCUUCUGGUAGGACCGCUUUUAGGGCCGGUACCGGAAGUGCUAGCCACAGCGACUUCAGGUAGUCUCGGUCUUAGCGGAUUCCGCGGACUUUCUUGUCUUUCUGCGUACUGCACUAACUGAGCGACCAAUUGAUACCUAAGUUUAGCUGAACUUUUUGUUGAAUUAAUUAAAACUGUUUUGAAAUCUAUUCUGUAAGAGCCUGAGAAAAAUUGCGGCCACAGAAGCUGUUUUGAAAUGCGCUUGGCUUCCGACUUCCGCAAGGGGAGGCAGCUGUUUCUUGUAGUCUUGCUCUGUCACCUACACUGGAAUUCAGUGGCACAGUCUCAGCUCAGCUCACUGCAACCUCCACCUCCCGGGUUCAAGUGAUUCUCAUACCUCAGCCUCCUGAGUAGCUGGGAUUACAGGUAUGUACCACCACACCUGGCUAAUUUUUGUAUUUUUAGUAGAGAUGACGUUUUGCCACGUUGGCCAGGCUGGUCUCGAACUCCUGGCCUCAUGUGAUCCACCUGCCUCAGCCUCCCAGAGUGCUAGAAUUACAG